rnacentral:rRNA from 1 species
AGAGUUUGAUCCUGGCUCAGGACGAACGCUGGCGGCGUGCUUAACACAUGCAAGUCGAACGGAAAGGUCUCUUCGGAGAUACUCGAGUGGCGAACGGGUGAGUAACACGUGGGUGAUCUGCCCUGCACUUUGGGAUAAGCCUGGGAAACUGGGUCUAAUACCGGAUAGGACCGCGCCAUGCAUGUGGUGUGGUGGAAAGCUAUUUGCGGUGUGGGAUGGGCCCGCGGCCUAUCAGCUUGUUGGUGGGGUGAUGGCCUACCAAGGCGACGACGGGUAGCCGGCCUGAGAGGGUGUCCGGCCACACUGGGACUGAGAUACGGCCCAGACUCCUACGGGAGGCAGCAGUGGGGAAUAUUGCACAAUGGGCGCAAGCCUGAUGCAGCGACGCCGCGUGGGGGAUGACGGCCUUCGGGUUG